UGGCCGAUGAGGAUAACAGUUAUAAGAAACACCAUCUUUCGGGACUGAAUGGCUCAUAAAGCCUUGCUGUUAUUCUGCAAUUCUGAGGCUA
rnacentral:snoRNA from 1 species